rnacentral:rRNA from 1 species
UGAGUAACACGUAUCCAACCUGCCGUCUACUCUUGGACAGCCUUCUGAAAGGAAGAUUAAUACAAGAUGGCAUCAUGAGUCCGCAUGUUCACAUGAUUAAAGGUAUUCCGGUAGACGAUGGGGAUGCGUUCCAUUAGAUAGUAGGCGGGGUAACGGCCCACCUAGUCUUCGAUGGAUAGGGGUUCUGAGAGGAAGGUCCCCCACAUUGGAACUGAGCCACGGUCCAA